CAAGGAAUAGUUUAUUAAAAUAUUAAUUUUGGAGAUUAGUGAUAAGAAGAUUUCUUUUCCUUGA
rnacentral:tRNA from 1 species